CACUGGCUAAUAGUCUGACUUUGACUAAAACCUGAUAAUUUAGACAGUAGCCCUAACAGCUUCCAUAGUAUCUCAUAAAUUAUCUCCAAUUCAGUUAAUAUUCUGACAGACUUCCAAUACAACCAUAUUGUGAAAAUUAUUGCUCUAAGACUAGCUCUUUCAUCCAUUCAUGCCACAAAUACUUACUGAGUGCCGACAUGCUGGACAGAGUUCUAGGCUCCAGAGAGACAGCAGCCAACAAAACAGGCAAAAAUCUCUGCCCUUAUGAAGCUUGUAUUCUAGUGAUUGAUGGGAGGAGAUAAAUGAUUAACAAAAUAAAUUAUGAAAUGUAUUGAAUAUUAAAUGGUGAUAAGUAUGAUGACACAUAAAGCAGGGGAAAGAGAUAGGGAUGGAUUGUAAUUUUAAAGAAAAUGGUCAGGGAAGAAUUUUAAAUAAAUUUUAAAUAAAUUUAAAUUUUAAAUUUUAAAUAAAAUGAUCAGGGAAGAAUUUACUAAAAUGUUCUUCGAAUAAAGAUCUGAAGGAGGUAAGAAACUAAACCACACAGACAUCUGAAGGAAGAUCUUUCUGGGCAGAAGGAACAAUGCGCAUGGGAAUUCAAGGGACACCAAAGAGGUCAGCAGGGCUGGAGAGGAGUAAUGGCGAGGAUGAGAAAGAGGAGACAAAGCCAGAGAAGUGUGGAGCAGGGGCAGAUCAUGUGGGGCCUGGAGAUGGGAGAAUACUGAGCAGAAGAAUGAGGAGGUCCUGUAUAUGUUUUAAAGGAAUCGCUGUAUGUGUUUGAGAUCACAUGAAAGCAGAGAGACCAGUUAGGAGGCUACUGCAAUAAUCUAGAUGAGAUUGUGGUUUAGACUAGGUGUAAAGUGGAAACACCCAGGCAGGACUGGCUACAUAAUUCAUGGGUUCUACUGCAAAAUGGAAAAGCAGGUUCCAUUGUUCAAAAAUUAUCAAGAAUGUUUUAUUUUUUUGAGAUAGUCAUGCUCUAUCGCCCCGUCUGGAGUGCAGUGGAAUGAUCUCUGCUCACUGCAACCUCUACCUCCUGGUUUCAAGUGAUUCUUGUGCCUCAGCCUGCCAAGUAGCUGGGACUCCAGGCAUGAGCCACCAUGCCCAGCUAAUUUUUGUAUUUUUAGCAGACACAGGGUUCCACCAUGUUGCCCAGGCUGGUCUGGAACUCCUGGCCUCAAGUGAUCUGCCUGCCUUGGCCUCUCAAAGUGCUGCGACUACAGGUGUAAGCCACCAUGCCCAGCCAAUUAUCAAGAAUUUUUAAGCCAGGCGUGAUGGUGUGCAUCUGUAACCCCAACAUUUUGGGAGGCCAAAGUGGGAAGAUUGCUUGAGGCCCAGAAUUCAAGAUCAGCCUGGGCAACAUAGCAAGAGUCUGCAUCUACAAAAAAAUUUUUUAAAUUAGCCAGGCAUGGUGGCACACUCCCUGUUGUCCCAGUUACUUGGGAGACAAGUAGAUGGGAGGAUUGCUUGAGCCCAAAAGUUUGAGGCUGCAGUGAGCUAUGAUUGUGCCAGUAAACUCCAGCCUGGGUGACAGAGAAAGACUUUAUCCCCCCACCCCGCAAAGAAAAGGAAGAAGAAGAGUUUUUAAAUGGCGCAGCCCUGGAAUCCACAAGGAGGAGGUUCAGUAUUCUCUCCUGAGCGUGAAGUUGGUUCUUGGCAUUGCUUCACUGCAACUGCUAUUUGCCAUUGAUGAUUGUUCUUCUCUUCCUCUGAGAGAGUAAGAGGGAGAGGAUGCAUGCAGUCUGAGUGGUUUCUCUUAAAAUAAAUAAAUAAAUAAUAAAUAAAAUGGUGCAACCACUAUGGAAAACAAUAUAGCAAUUCUUUAAAACUUAAAAAUAGAAUUGCCAUAUGAUCCAGCAAUUCCACUUCUGGGUAUAGAAACUUGAAAAGAUUUGACAGCAGGGCCCUGAAGAGGUAUGUACACCCCAUGUUCAUAGCAUCAUUCACAAUAGCCAAAAAGCAGAAGCAAUCCAAGUGUCCAUCAACAGAUGAAUUUUUUUAAUGGGGUCUACAUACAUACAAGCACAUAUUAUUCCACCUUAAAAGGAAGAAAAUUCCAAUACAUGCUAAAACAUAGAUAAACCUUGAGGACGUUUGCUAGGUGGAAUAAACCAGCCACAAAAAGAUGAAU
rnacentral:lncRNA from 10 species